UUUUGUGCUAUGCGUGUGGAUGUGAGAGUUGUAGAAUUAAAUCUGAAUCGGAAUAGCUUGAUUCUUUAACCUUCACUUUAUUUUUAUUUAUUUAUUUAUUUUCCUUGUCAUCAAUUGCUUGUCUCUUGUACCAAAAUUAAAGGCAACCAAUUAACACUUUUUGCCUCAUUUUCUUUUUAAGUCACAUUCUCACUUAAUUCCCACAUAUCAUUUCUCAUUGCAAUUUGCAACCACCACUGCAUAGAUUGAAAUAAUAAUAAGACCAAGGAGUUUAUUUGACUUUUGAAGAUGUAGUAAAACAUGUCUUAACCUGUUGAUGUCACGCAUUAAGCUGCUGCAAAACAAGAGAGAUGUGCAACUGAAGCAAAUGCUUCCCAAUUUUUGUAGGCUGACCAAGAGGCAAUUGCUAGAAUUCGGGUGCUAGAGCAACUUGAAGGCAACCACCUCUCCUCCGCAGCAAUCCUCAGCCAAGAUGGCAGUGUUUGGGUUCAGCUCUAAUUUCCCUCAGGUGUGGGAAAAUUGAGCUUGCGUGGAGGGUGUUUGAUGAAAGUUCUAAGAGAGACCAUGUAGGUUCAGUUCAUUUUGACUCUGCUGCUCAAGGAACCUACUCAUGAGUUCUAGCAAUUGUGCUGCCUUCUUUUUUCCUCUGUUUGUGCCAUUUUGAGCCAAAUCCAACAAAUGAUCCAUCAUGCCAAGCUCUCAGGCCUGAGCCAGAUAUUGUUGAUCUCAAGAAGAAAGAUGAA